UCUACGCCGCCGUCUUCUCUAGUUCGCUCGCCUGACUAGCCCUAUGAGAGCGGCUGCGCAAGUGUCUCUCGUUGACAGUGCGUGCAUCAGUAACCUCGCAAAGUCAUUCCUCGCGAACCGCAUCGCAGCGCCGGCCGGAGCUGCGGCCAUCUGGCCGUUCGCCUUUGCUGUGUGCUAGGUCGUCCCCGCUAAAUCUGCAAUCUCCUCCGACGCCUGCGUUGUUGAGCGGAGUCUCCACAUCUAGCAGCAGCGCCGGUGACUCUUAUCCAUCCAUCAAUGAAAGGAGCGUAUCAAUUUACUAUGCAUUAUUUUCCCUUACCCUGCAUUUGUACGAACAGAAAGAAGUACCUUGCUGACAAAUGAAAUAGUUCAGAGAUAACAAUUUGGAACAGAUAAGGCGGCUAUGUCUGCAACACAUUAUAUAUUUAGUGAGGGCCUAGCUUGGACAAGAGGGAUGAACAUUGGAGCAAGAUUAUGCGUGGAGAUGAUGGCAUGUGCAAGGGGAACAAGAACAGAGUUACAAGUGAUGAUUUCAG